rnacentral:rRNA from 1 species
UACGGAGGGUGCAAGCGUUGUCCGGAUUUAUUGGGUUUAAAGGGCUCGUAGGCGGCCAACUAAGUCCGACGUGAAAUCCCCAGGCUUAACCUGGGAACUGCGUCGGAUACUGGAUGGCUUGAAUCCGGGAGAGGGAUGCGGAAUUCCAGGUGUAGCGGUGAAAUGCGUAGAUAUCUGGAGGAACACCGGUGGCGAAGGCGGCAUCCUGGACCGGUAUUGACGCUGAUGAGCGAAAGCCAGGGGAGCAAACGGG